rnacentral:piRNA from 1 species
UGGGCUACACGUACUACAACAGGGGAG